UACGAGUGGGACGAGUGUUAUUCGGCAUGACUGGGCGUAAAGGGCAGGUAGGCAAUUACUUCAAACAUAGAACGAAAAACCUGUAGUGUAUUCUAUAGUGGGUUUCAUGUAAGAUUUAAUUUGGGUCAGUCUCGGGAUAAUGGAAUUCUUUUUGUGGGGCUAAAAUCCGUGCUUUUUUGCAAAAAAAGAAAAACACCAUAUCGGUGAAGACGAUUAUCUGGAGCUGACUGACGCUGAGCUGCGAAAGCGUGGGGAGCGAAUAGG
rnacentral:rRNA from 1 species